rnacentral:misc_RNA from 1 species
GCAGACUGGUGCAGUCAAGGAACCUGGUCACAUCCCUAUUUUUAAAGAAGCCUUGUGUAAAAGAAACCACUACCAUAAACCAAUUAUGCAAUUAUAUCCUGGGCAUUAUUAUGCUUUCAUUUGCGCUCUAAUCUAUUGCAAAAUUAUCCAUAAGAAAGUAUAUAUCCAUUAACAUCCCAAUUUUACUGCCUUAUAAGGUCAAAUUUAAAGAUGAGGAACCUAACUAAUAUGAGUGAAAUGCAUCUCCAAACUAAAGGCUCACAGUCAGUAGGGCCAUAAGGGCAUAUAUUUUGGUCUGUUAGCAGUUGUGUGUUGUGACAUGCAUUUUUUAAGUGCACGGAAGAAGCUUUAAUCAAUUCUUUCUUCAUUUUUCAAAAUAUAUAGAGCAGUCUUACAUGAUAAGUUCUUAAGCACAAGCAUUUUCAAAUAGAAGACACUUAGUGCCUGUUU